UCUCAUUUAAAUUUCAAACGUCAAACGUCAAAGCCCCAUACGAGUUUUCAUUCAGCUCGCAUUUGGUUGAAGUAAAUCGUUCGAUUAGUUUGCUUUAAAAUUGCUAAAAAAAAAGAAGAAAUUUUCGAUUUUAAUUCCGUUGCAUAUUUAAGCUGCUCGCGGUUUCACACACACACACACACACACACACACAUAGUUUUGUAGUUCUUUUCGAUUUGAGUUUGUUAAAUCGCGCUGACACAGCACAGCUGUCAAGCUGUGCAAACUAUGCAAAUCUGUUGUGGCAAACCGGCAACUGAAUAAAGCUUCUCGAGCAUCCCAGCUAUCCCGGGCAUGGUAAGCGGCUGAAGUAGUGGAGCCGCGCGUAAUUAAGGAUUCGUGAAUACUUUUGGUGUGAUAAGCGCUCGAACAGUGCUUCGGACACGUCUGUGAUAUACGCAUAAUUUUGCAAACGGACAAUACGCCUGCCUGUCACGCCCACUUGACUCACGCCUGAGCUCGCCUUUACCACCUUGACAAAAUUUUCCUUCGAUACAUUGAGAAAGCUGUAAGCCGCAACUGAAUACGAAGUAUGACUGUUAGUCGAUGCCGUAGUCGGAGUCCGUUUUGGAUUCGGAGUGGCAGUCCGGUUUGGAUUCGGAGUCAGAGUUGGAGUCGGAGUCCGAAUGUGCGUCGCAAUUUGGGUCGAAAUAUGAGUCGGAGUCGGAGUCCCAGUCGGAGCCUGAGUCCCAAUCGGAGUCUGAGUCGUAGUCGGAGUCGGAGUCGGAGACUUAGUCGAAGUCGGGGAGUUAGUCGGAGUCGAAGUACGAGUCGAUGCCGUACAUUUAGACGAAGUCUGAAUCGUUUUACCCGAAGUCGGAGUGUGAGUCGAAGCCUGAGUCGGGAUCGGAGUUGGACUCGGAGUCGGAGUCUGAGUAGAAGUCUCAGUCCAAGUCGGAGUCCAAGCCGGAGUCCAAGUCGGAGUCCAAGUCGGAGUCCAAGUCGGAGGUCAAGCCGGAGUUCAAGCCAGAGUUCAAGUCGAAGUCCAAGUCGGAGGCGGAAUGUGAGUCGACGUCGAAGUCGAACUCGGUGGCGCAAUUUGCGUCUGAGCCGAGUUCGGAAGCGGAAAUUCAGCCGAGCUCUUAGUCGGAUUCGAAGCCCGAGUCCGAGUCAUACUCUGGGUCGGAAUCGAGGCUUUCUAUCGAUAAUAAUUGACAGUUUCAAGCAAACCUUUUAUGCUGUGAAAGCAAAAUAUUUUUGAUCAACUUAUUUUGUUUAUUUCAAACUGUGAAAUGUUUUGAUAAAAUAUUUUUAAAAUAAACACGUUGUCACAUGACAUUUGUAUGUCAAAUACAG